rnacentral:rRNA from 1 species
GACGAACUUUGGCGGCGCGCCUAACACAUGCAAGUCGAACGGAGUUGUGUUGAAAGCUUGCUGGAUAUACAACUUAGUGGCGGACGGGUGAGUAACACGUGAGUAACCUGCCUCUCAGAGUGGAAUAACGUUUGGAAACGAACGCUAAUACCGCAUAACGUGAGAAGAGGGCAUCCUCUUUUUACCAAAGAUUUAUCGCUGAGAGAUGGGCUCGCGGCCGAUUAGGUAGUUGGUGAGAUAACACCCCACCAAGCCGACGAUCGGUAGCCGGACUGAGAGGUUGAUCGGCCACAUUGGGACUGAGACACGGCCCACACUCCUACGGGAGGCAGCAGUGGGGGAUAUUGCACAAUGGGGGAAACCCUGAUGCAGCGACGCCGCGUGAGGGAAGACGGUUUUCGGAUUGUAAACCUCUGUCUUUAGGGACAAAAAAAUGACGGUACCUAAGGAGGAAGCCACGGCUAACUACGUGCCAGCAGCCGCGGUAAUACGUAGGUGGCAAGCGUUGUCCGGAAUUACUGGGUGUAAAGGGAGCGUAGGCGGGGAGACAAGUUGAAUGUCUAAACUAUCGGCUUAACUGAUAGUCGCGUUCAAAACUAUCACUCUUGAGUGCAGUAGAGGUAGGCGGAAUUCCUAGUGUAGCGGUGAAAUGCGUAGAUAUUAGGAGGAACACCAGUGGCGAAGGCGGCCUACUGGGCUGUAACUGACGCUGAGGCUCGAAAGCGUGGGUAGCAAACAGGAUUAGAUACCCUGGUAGUCCACGCCGUAAACGACUUGUAGGAGGUGUGGGGGGGACUGACCCCUUCCGUGCCGGAGUUAACACAAUAAGUAAUCCACUUGGGGAGUACGACCGCAAGGUUGAAACUCAAAGGAAUUGACGGGGGCCCGCACAAGCAGUGGAGUAUGUGGUUUAAUUCGAAGCAACGCGAAGAACCUUACCAGGUCUUGACAUCGAGCGACGAACCUAGAGAUAAGUUCUUCCUUCGGGACGCGAAGACAGGUGGUGCAUGGUUGUCGUCAGUUCGUGUCGUGAGAUGUUGGGUUAAGUCCCGCAACGAGCGCAACCCUUAUCAUUAGUUGCUACGCAAGAGCACUCUAAUGAGACUGCCGUUGAUAAAACGGAGGAAGGUGGGGAUGACGUCAAAUCAUCAUGCCCCUUAUGACCUGGGCUACACACGUACUACAAUGGUGAUCAAACAGAGGGAAGCAACACAGCGAUGUGAAGCAAAUCCCGAAAAAUCAUCUCAGUUCAGAUUGCAGGCUGCAACUCGCCUGCAUGAAGUCGGAAUUGCUAGUAAUCGCGGAUCAGCAUGCCGCGGUGAAUACGUUCCCGGGCCUUGCACA